rnacentral:rRNA from 1 species
AUUGAACGCUGGCGGCAUGCUUUACACAUGCAAGUCGAACGGCAGCGCGGGCUUCGGCCUGGCGGCGAGUGGCGAACGGGUGAGUAAUACAUCGGAACGUGCCCAGUAGUGGGGGAUAGCUCGGCGAAAUCCGGAUUAAUACCGCAUACGACCUGAGGGUGAAAGCGGGGGAUCUUCGGACCUCGCGCUAUUGGAGCGGCCGAUGGCAGAUUAGCUAGUUGGUGGGGUAAAGGCCUACCAAGGCGACGAUCUGUAGCUGGUCUGAGAGGACGGCCAGCCACACUGGGACGGAGACACGGCCCAGACUACUACGGGAGGCAGCAGUGGGGAAUUUUGGACAAUGGGCGGAAGCCUGAUCCAGCAAUGCCGCGUGUGUGAUGAAGGCCUUCGGGUUGUAAAGCACUUUUGGCGGGAACGAAAAGGACUGUGCCAAUACCACGGUUCGAUGACGGUACCCGCAGAAUAAGCACCGGCUAACUACGUG